GACAGAGGGGGCAAGCGUUGCUCGGAAUCACUGGGCGUAAAGGGCGCGUAGGCGGGAUGGCAAGUCAGUCGUGAAAUCUCUCGGCUCAACCGAGAAACGUCGGCUGAUACUGCCGUUCUUGAGGGAUGCAGAGGAGACUGGAAUUCCCGGUGUAGCGGUGAAAUGUGUAGAGAUCGGGAGGAACACCGGUGGCGAAGGCGGCGACCUGGACAGUAACUGACGCUGAGACGCGAAAGCGUGGGGAGCAAACAGG
rnacentral:rRNA from 1 species